GUGUGUGUGUGUGUGUGUGUGUGGAGAGGGGGUUCCUGGCCUAAAAGCGGCUCUCGGAGGGAAGACUUCGGACCGCAUCCGGAGUCUGAGGGGUGUUCUUGCCACAAUAAAGUGGAAACUGCGAUGAAAACGAAGAAUUAAUAAAGCCAUUAAAAUGGCCUCAUAUGUAUAAAAUCAAUGCCAGUCAUAGAUUGAAAGUCGCCUUUAUCAGUGCUGGGUUCCGGAUCCUGUUUCAACCAGUACGGUGCAAUAGAGCCCGGUGUCUCCCACAUGCACACGCGCAGCGCGCCCAUGGGUCCUUAUCUCUUGAAAUGCAUCCGUGAUGCUCCAGCUGCUCGGCAGAGCAUUGCGCAGGCGCCAUACAUACCAUGCGUGUGCAUGAAAGCACCAAAGAGCUCAAAUACAGCCCAGAUCUGGAUACAGUGACAUGAUAGCAGUGUUCCAAU